AGUAUAUCUUCACUUUCCACUUUAUCAUCAACUAUUUGCUCUCUCUUUAUUUUGUGUUAUCUGCUUCAUAUUAUACCCAUUUUUCUGCAUUCUGCUACGAGUUUGAAUUUCUUCAUGCUUUUUGGAUAAUACAUGAUGUAACAGUAGUUAGUUCAUCAGAUGAAAACGUACUCUCAAAAUGCAAAAUACAUGUUCGUUCAAAUAUUGAAAGAUUACAAGAUUACAAGAAAAUAAAUGAUUAGGGAGAAAAGUCUUGCGGUUGUUUCAUAACCUGCAAGCAGAAGGUCUAGUAAAAUGCUCACUUUCUCCACAUCACUUAAAUCUCCUUUCAUUAAAUAAAAUCUCAUCAAAGUGGUCGUCUUUGGCUGGACCAUUUAGUACUUCCAUGUCUUUUUCAUGUUCCCUGGCUUUUAAUAUUUGUUUCAAGAUAGAUGAAAUCCUGUCAUACUAUGGUAGCAUAUUAGUUAUCAGAAAUAGCUUUCUCUGCAUGGUUAACGAAGUAUACUUAUGACUUUAAGUAUACCUGUGAAUUCUAUUGAAGUUAAGUAUCAAAUUAUUCCAAUCAGCUACUUACAUACCGUAGAUCUUCACCCUUGGUAACAGUACUGCAGCGAUGUGUUCCAAAUCCAGCUCCAUCCAUUCCAAAACCACCCAUAGAAGGCCCAAAUCUAUCCAUUACAUUAUUACUUGAACUAAUACCUUUUCUUCUUUUUAAGUGGUGGGAGGUAUGUCAAAGUUUCUGAUAUUACCUGUGGUGUGCCAUUCAACACAAGUGAAAAGAACUCUUUUCCCGUUUAAAAUUGAAUGACGCCAAAGAAUUCUGUGAACCUCGUCAAUUCAUAACAUAAUACAUUUUCCUAUUCAAGUGCGGAUGGAAAAAAGAAAAGGCAAAAAAUAAGCACUUACGGUGGCGGGGAAGACAAUUACUGGCAAUCUAUAGUACCCAAACUUGCAGAUAAUGCUUAGGUAAGCUAUAGUACUAGAAUAUAAUUGAACUUCCUGCUAAAUGAGGUGGCACACCUAAAAGUCACCAGGGAAAUAACUAAUGAGUCUAAAGGUGGGAAGAAGUUUAGUAGUAAAUCUUCACUCUACGAAGCACUCCUCGGCUACAGUAUUGAAGAUGUUCGACCAAACGGUGGAAUCAAGAAGUUUAGAUCUGCUGCUUACUCCAACUGCGCGCGCAAACCCUCCUGACAUUCUUUAAGCUUCUAUCUAGUGCGUCUCUUGGUGCAAAAAAUUCCAAAAAAAAAUUCUUCUGUCAAUUAGGUCGUGUUAAACCCUCGCUCCUUUUUUCCUCUCCUUCGGCUGCUUUCUACAUUUCCUCUCCUUGGUUGCGAACAAUUUCCUUUAAAAGAUCAUUAGUUUCUGUGAACAUUUUUUCGACAUGGAAGUGGUAUUGCCAGUUUCUUCCAUAGGUUAUGAAGGCUAUCAGAAGAGGCUUGAAAUUUCAUUUUUUGAGCCUGGCAGCCUGGCCUUUUUGCUGAUCCUGAAGGAAAAGGACUUCAGUCACAUUCAAAAGCACAAUUGGAUGAGUUCCUAGGACCUGCUGAGUGCAUCAUAAUUGACUCUCUUUCUAAUGAGUGGGUUGACUUCUAUCUCCCCUCUGAGUCGAGCCUUUUCAUUUAUCUUUACAAGAUAAUCAUCAAGACCUGUGGCACCUCAAAGUUGCUUCAUUCAAUUCCGGCCAUCUUGAAGUUGGCUGAUACUCUUUCACUCAAAGUACAAGCUGUGAAGUAUUCCCGUGGGAGCUUCAUUUUCCCGGGGGCCCAAUUAUUUCCUCAUCGUCACUGCUCUGAAGAAGUUUCCAUCCUUGAUACCUACUUUGGAAAGUUUAGUUCAGGCAGCAAAGCUUUGAUUUUGGACAGUCCUGAGAAACCUCAAAAAUGGCAUGUUUACUCUGCCUUGGCUGGACCUAUUCAGACUAAGAACCCUGUCUACACUCUUGAGAUGUUCGUGACUAAUUUGGAUAGGAAGAAGGCUUCUGUCUUUUACAAGAGUGAAUCAAGCUCGGUAGCUCAAAUGACAACUGAAUCUGUCACAAGGAAGAUCCUCCCUUACUCUGAUAUAUGCGAUUUUGAGCUUGAUCCUUGUGGUUAUUCCAUGAAUUCUAUUAAAGGAGCUGCGCUUUCUACUAUUCAUGUUACACCAGAAGAUGGUUUUAGUUAUGCUAGCUUUGAAGCGGUUCGGUAUGAUUUGAACCUAAGUUGCUCGGACUCUUCAAAAAUGUCUACGGCUGUGUGUUGGAUUCUUCAAAAAUAAUGUAUUUUUGAGGGAUCCGACACGGGUGCGGCAAUAUUUUUGGGGAGUCUGUGCAACUUAGAUUUGAAUCCUCAAGUCUCACAAGUCACACCACUGGUCAAGAGGGUGCUGACAUGUUUCCUGACUGAUGAGUUUUCUUUUGCUUUGCAUGCUGAUGAUGUUGCUUGUGAGCUACUGGAGCAUAUUUGCUCUAUUGAUGUGAAGGGCUACUCUCUUGCUGAGUGGAGCCCAGAAGAACUUGGUAAUGGAGGUUCUAUUGUCUACCAGAAAUUUGCUAGGAGUUCCUUUUGUGGGUCUCCAGGAUCUGUUAUGCAGGAGUAGCAGGACUGCUGUUAAGAGGAGGAGAAAGGAGAAAAGGAGUUGUGUUGAGGGUCGCUAGCUCAAUUGCUGGUGUUGUUUGCAGAUGUUUUAUGAUGUUCGGUUGUUGUCCUCCUUAGUUCUCUAAAUAAUGGGCUUCAUGCCCUUAGAAUUAGUAAUGAAAAUUGUGGACUUAAUCUGGCUUUUUGGUGUUCUACCUGAAGUCCUAUUGCUUGUAUAUUGGAUUAUUACUGCAUUUGGUUUUUCUCAGACUCGUUUGUUAUUUGUUUUUUCUUUAGUAAGAGUGUGUUGUUCACACAACUUAAGAUUUAUUUUCAUUAGUAAGAGUGUGUUGUUCACCAAGCCAAUUGUGAACAUUUCAUUUAUGUUCAUUGUUUAAACUUUUGUUUUGGUGCUGGUCGUUAGCUACUUCAGAUUUACUUCCAAGCCCUUGCAUAAUUAGAGAAGCAUGAACUAAACAUAUGUUAUCUCUGCACAUCUUCUCUUGUGUUAUAUAGGAGUAACUUCUAGUUAAGCAUGAACUAAACAUGCGAUAUCUCUGCACAUCUUCUCUUUUGUUAUAUAGGAGUAACUUCUAGUUAUUGUCUUUUCACGUUGUAUCAACUUGUUUCUCUUUGUAUCUUGAAUCCUUCAUUUUUAGUUGUUUCAAAAUUGGUUGCAGUCGUUCUGUUUAUGUGUAACAGAUAACAUGACAUUCCAUUGAUGUUUCUGCAGGGAAAUGGAGAAGGCAAAGCCAAA